rnacentral:rRNA from 1 species
UUAGCAAGUUUUACCCAACAAAAAGAAUUCAAGCCGGACACCCCGAAACCAGACGAGCUACUUUUAGGCAACAUAACCCGUCUCUGUGGCAAAAGAGUGGAUAGACCUUAAAGUAGGGGCAACAAACCUAACGAGCCUGGAUAUAGCUGGUUACUUGAGAAUGAAUUUAAGUUCAAUUAAGGGCAGUAUUACCAACAAGGAACGUACACCCUUAUUAUAGUUGACUAAGGUACAACUUAAUUAACAAAGGAAACAACCUGCAUAAAUGAGUAAAGAUAUACACUACCCGGGACUUAAUCUAGUAGGCCUAAAAGCAGCCAUCACAUUAAAAGCGUCAAAGCUUAACUAAUCUACUACCACUUAUUCUUAUAAAAAAUCUAAACUCAAUAAAAUAAUCAAGUCAAUCUAUCUAUAGAUAAGUUAUUACUAAAAUAAGUAACACGGGAGCACCCUCAUAAUACACGUGUAAAUCAGAAUAGACCGCCUACUGAUAAUUAAUACAACAUUUAAUAAUACAAGAACUUAAAUGUACUUAAACGUUAAUCCAACACGGGGGUAUAUAUGAAGACUUAAAAUUUGGCAAGGAACUCGGCAAACCCAGGCCC